UGUGGUGGUGACAACUGGCGAGGGUGGAAUUAACCACCGGGGAGUGACCGCGAACCUCAUUGCGCGCCGCCCGCCUGGGUGCGAGGU
rnacentral:ncRNA from 2 species